CACGUAGGGUGCGAGCGUUGUCCGGAAUUAUUGGGCGUAAAGAGCUCGUAGGCGGUUUGUUGCGUCGGCUGUGAAAACCUGAGGCUCAACCUCAGGCCUGCAGUCGAUACGAGCAGACUAGAGUGUUGCAGGGGAGACUGGAAUUCCUGGUGUAGCGGUGAAAUGCGCAGAUAUCAGGAGGAACACCGGUGGCGAAGGCGGGUCUCUGGGCCGAUACUGACGCUGAGGAGCGAAAGCGUGGGGAGGCGAACAGG
rnacentral:rRNA from 1 species